rnacentral:lncRNA from 1 species
GCAACGGUUGGGGCUGCGCGUGAGAAGGUGGCGGUGUAGGCACCUGUGCUCGGGGAAGGCUGGCGGCGGCGGCCGGGCCAUGGCCAGAGACCCCCUCCUCUGGGCUCCCUGAAGUCCUGGGGAGCCGUGACCCAUGGGAUCGUCGAGCAGCCGGGUGCUGGGCCAGCCGAGGCGAGCCCUUGCCCAGCAGGAACAGGGUGCCAGGGCCAGGGGCUCGGCCCGGAGGCCGGACACUGGAGACGAUGCGGCGAGCUACGGCUUCUGUUACUGCCCGGGCAGUCACAAGCGCAAGCGGAGCAGCGGGGCCUGCCGCUACUGUGACCCGGACUCGCACAGGGAGGAGCAUGAGGAGGAGGGGGACAAGCAGCAGCCGCUCCUCAACACCCCUGCAAGGAAAAAAUUAAGGAGUACAUCCAAAUAUAUUUAUCAAACAUUAUUUUUGAAUGGUGAAAACAGUGACAUUAAGAUUUGUGCUCUAGGAGAAGAAUGGCGAUUACACAAAAUAUAUUUAUGUCAAUCUGGCUACUUUUCUAGUAUGUUCAGUGGUUCUUGGAAAGAAUCCAGCAUGAAUAUUAUUGAACUGGAGAUUCCUGACCAGAACAUUGAUGUAGACGCACUGCAGGUUGCGUUUGGUUCACUGUAUCGAGAUGAUGUCUUGAUAAAACCCAGUCGAGUUGUUGCCAUUUUGGCAGCAGCUUGUAUGCUGCAGCUGGAUGGUUUAAUACAGCAGUGUGGUGAGACAAUGAAGGAAACAAUUAAUGUGAAAACUGUAUGCGGUUAUUACACAUCAGUAGAGAUCUAUGGAUUAGAUUCUGUAAAGAAAAAGUGCCUUGAAUGGCUUCUAAACAAUUUGAUGACUCACCAGAAUGUUAAACUUUUUAAAGAACUCGGUAUAAAUGUCAUGAAACAGCUCAUUGGUUCCUCUAACUUAUUUGUGAUGCAAGUGGAGAUGGAUGUAUACACCACUCUAAAAAAGUGGAUGUUCCUUCAACUUGUGCCUUCUUGGAAUGGAUCUUUAAAACAGCUUUUGACAGAAACAGAUGUCUGGUUUUCUAAACAGAGAAAAGAUUUUGAAGGUAUGGCCUUUCUUGAAACUGAACCAGGAAAACCAUUUGUGUCAGUAUUCAGACAUUUAAGGUUACAAUAUAUUAUCAGUGACCUAGCUUCUGCAAGAAUUAUUGAACAAGAUGGUAUAGUACCUUCAGAAUGGCUGUCUUCUGUGUAUAAACAGCAGUGGUUUGCUAUGCUGCGGGCAGAACAAGACCGUGAGGUAGGGCCUCAAGAAAUCAAUAAAGAAGACCUAGAGGGAAAUAGCAUGAGGUGUGGUAGAAAGCUUGCCAAAGAUGGUGAAUACUACUGGUGUUGGACGGGUUUUAACUUCGGCUUUGACCUACUUGUAAUUUACACCAAUGGAUACAUCAUUUUCAAACGCAAUACACUGAAUCAGCCACGCAGCGGGUCUGUCAGUUUACGGCCUCGAAGGAGCAUAGCAUUUAGAUUACGCUUGGCUUCUUUUGAUAGUAGUGGAAAACUAGUAUGUAGUAGAACAACUGGCUAUCAAAUACUUAUACUUAAAAAGGAUCAGGAACAAGUGGUGAUGAACUUGGACAGCAGGUUUCUGACCUUCCCUUUAUAUAUCUGCUGUAACUUCUUGUAUAUAUCACCAGAAAAAGGAAUUGAAAAUAAUCGUCACCCAGAAAAUCCAGAAAACUGAAGAUCUCAUCAGUUGGAAACAGUAGCACUUUGAAAACUUUCAGGCCAGCUUUAAUUUAAUGGCCCUACUGAUAUUCACAUCUAAGUUGACUAACAAUGACAAAGGCCUUAUGAACUGUACGGACAAUACAGAAGACUAUUCUUAUCCUCAUUGCAUUUCUAUGCAUAUACAAAAAAAAUCAUUUUAAAGCCAAGAAAAUAUCUGUCAAACCAUUUCUGUCAGUACGAUGUCAACUCAUGCUUUUAAUUCAGCAUCAGCAGAAAAUGACUGUAGGUAAAUCUCACAUUUAUCUGCAACAAAAUAUAGAUUUAAUUUUUAGCUUAAACUUUGUUUCUACCUUAUGUUAGUGGACCUCAGUUAUCCAUCUGUAAAUUUAUUUUUAUUUGGCUAAAAUAAUCUAAAAGAAUAAUUUGGAUGGCCAAUUAGAAAUGCUCUUUUGAGCUGGGGCAUUUAAAGCUUUCCUUUAAUAUUUUUACCUGCUCAUUAUGAUUCCUCCUUUUAGUCUAAUAUCUUUCCAGUUCAUACUUGUUUUUAAUCAUUAAAUACUUUCUUCCUGGUUUGGAGACUAAGCUGAGAAACUUUUUUUAAACUUAAGCAUUGUCAUAUGCUAUUUUUUAAAAUUUGGCUUUCCUAGGAUUUUAAGAACAAUGAAAGUUAGCUUCACACCUUCAAAUGAUCUUGAAUGCGUGAAAAAUCAGUUUGAUUCCAGGGAUAUUUCUUGUCUUACAUGGUCUUUUCUUUGACAGUCUGUACACCUUUAUUAUUAGUUUUUGAGUUAUUUAUGUACCAGAUAUUAUACUUUUAAAUAUUUUAAUAUUCUCUGAUCUUUACAAUUAUUUAUGUUCAAAUUUUAGUUGGGAGUUUUGUUUCCUACUUAAGCUCAGGACUUGAUACCCUCUGAGAUGAGUGGCUUUGAGUGACAUGCUAACAGCAAUUUCAUAGUAAAUGUAAAUAAGGUCAGAGGAUCUAACAUAGAAGCUGAUGACGCAUUAAUGUAAAAAUGGAACUUAUUUUUGUCAAAAAUAAGAUGUACACUUGUCAUGAUUUAUAUAUGUUGACCUUUUGUGUUUACUGCUGUUUUGAAUAGAGCCAUGUUCAUUUUCUUUCCAGUUAGAGUAAGUACUUCUGUGGUUAAUGUAUAUUUUUAUUCUGGCUUUUAAAAUGGGAAUAAUUUGUAUGUAUCUGUGCAAAUAAUAAAUGCGCAUUUGG